rnacentral:rRNA from 1 species
GACGAACGCGUGGCGGCGUGGAUUAGGCAUGCAAGUCGAACGGUAUCAUCCUUUCGGGGGUGAGAGAGUGGCGAACUGGUGAGUAACACGUAGGUUAUCUACCCUCAAGACGGGACAACCCAGGGAAACUUGGGCUAAUACCGGAUGUGAGCAACUUUUAGUUGUUUGAAAGGUGGCGUAAGCUGUCGCUUGGGGAUGAGCCUGCGUCCUAUUAGUUAGUUGGUGAGGUAACGGCUCACCUAGGCAAUGAUAGGUAGGCGGCCUUAACGGGUGGUCGCCCACACUGGGAUUGAGAUACGGCCCAGACUCCUACGGGAGGCAGCAGUCGAGAAUAGUCUACAAUGGUCGGAAGACUGAUAGUGCGACGCCGCGUGAACGAUGAAUCCCUUCGGGGUGUAAAGUUCUUUUAUAUGUGAGCAGUGCUUCUUAUAUUAACAGUAUGGGGAGAGAGAUAUUAGCAUAUGAAUAAGCAACGGCUAACUCCGUG